UACAGGGGGGUGCGAGCGUUAAUCGGAGUUACUGGGUGUAAAGGGCGCGUAGGCGGUGAGAUGUGUGUGAUGUGAAAGCCCCCGGGCUUAACCUGGGAAGUGCAUUGCAAACUAUCUGACUAGAGUAUAUGAGAGGGUGGCGGAAUUUCCGGUGUAGCGGUGAAAUGCGUAGAGAUCGGAAGGAACGUCAAUGGCGAAGGCAGCCACCUGGCAUGAUACUGACGCUGAGGCGCGAAAGCGUGGGGAGCGAACAGG
rnacentral:rRNA from 1 species